rnacentral:rRNA from 1 species
UACGUAGGGUGCAAGCGUUAAUCGGAAUACUGGGCGUAAAGCGUGCGCAGGCGGUGAUGUAAGACAGGUGUGAAAUCCCCGGGCUUAACCUGGGAACUGCAUUUGUGACUGCAUCGCUGGAGUGCGGCAGAGGGGGAUGGAAUUCCGCGUGUAGCAGUGAAAUGCGUAGAUAUGCGGAGGAACACCGAUGGCGAAGGCAAUCCCCUGGGCCUGCACUGACGCUCAUGCACGAAAGCGUGGGGAGCAAACAGGAUUGAGAUAC